UUACGACCACAUCACGUUUAAACAUCUGUUCUCGUACGAUCACCAAAAUUAAGCAACGUCGAGCCUGGCCAGUACCUCGAUGGGUGUCUGUUUGAGAAUACCCGGUGUUACAAG